AAUGUAGACGAUUCAUUAGGGAGCACUUAGAGGUAUCGGGCACAAAGGCGGUGUUUGCCUUAGAAAUGGUUGCUGCGAGGGGGCCGGGUCCCGCUCCCGGGGCCGGCGGCUCUGCGCCUCGGUGCCCGGGCUGGCCAGGAGCGAGGUGAGAGCCCGCUGCGGGCCCCGGGCCCGGGAGCGCCUCUGCACCCCCCCGGGCCGCGAGCGUGGCGUGGGGUGGAAUCACGCGGGUCCCGCUCUCAGCACCGAAGGGGGUGCCAGCCCCGAGGGGCACACGGCACCUCCGUCUGACUGCUCACGGACGGCCGCGGUGCCCCGUCCGCGAAGGGGAUGCCCCCGCCCCAGCUGAUGGGGCUGGUUUUUUCCCCCGGACGACGGCGGACGCGGCACCCUUUCGCUGCCAAGAGGUGCGUGAACGGGCCCGACUUCGGAAGCAGAAAUGCGGUCACCCGAAACAUGUCCACCCGGGGACCCCGCCCCUCGGCUGCUCCCUCCGGGGACCCAGUGAAGGCGAAGGACGGGGGGUCGCAAACCCAAAGCUGGGCUGGACCACAGUCCCGAACAUUUCAACAAAGGUACACCCUCCGAUUGUUUGCCGAUGCAGAUGCCAGCCUUCUCCACUCGCACUCAGAAAACUGCCCGGGAGAUAUUCGUGGGUUUAUUUCUGCCCCCUGAUUUGGGUGGCUGAAGUUGUUUUUAUUCCGUCGACUCUUCCCUUUCUGCGGAGGGCAGUGCCGGUCGCAGGUGCUCCGAGGCGGCGCCGCGGCCCGGGGCCCCAUCCUGCCCCCCUGGCCGGGGAACGCCGGACCGCUCGGCGGAGGAGGGCCCCGCUGUGCCGCCCCUCGCCCCCGGGGCUGCCCCUGCCCAGCCCCGCCGGGUCGCGGCCGGCCCCGCCGCGCCGCCUCGACGACCCCUGCCCCGCCGGCGCGCCCUGCAAACGCGCCCGGCGCCCCCCCCCCGCCCCGGGCCGGGGCCUCCUCACCGCCCAAACUCCGCGUAAAUCUUUACAGAGCUCCCCCACCGCCCCGAAUUACUCCCCGCUUGUUUUUAAUGACGUUAAAUGAGCCGUUUUCGCUCCCUCGCACGUGGCCCGUCGGAGGUAAUUGCCGUGCAGGGAAAGGCGAAGUUCCCCUAUAAAUUGCGGCGAGGGCCGGAGCCCGCAGCCCGGCGGGCCUCCGCUGUGCCGGUGUCCCGGGCGCGGGGCUGAGACACCACCUCCGACACUGGCAGAAGCCCCGCGGCCGCCAGCUCCUUCCCUCCCCGCACAGAGCGAGCGUCCGGCUGGAAGGAGGUGCCCGUAAGCUCCCCUCUGCACAUCGCGGGGCGGGGGGAGGCACCCCCUUCCCACGGAGCCCGCUUUUAGUUUAUUUUUGCACCGUGUCUGGGGGCUUCUUGAGCACAGGAUUAAAGCAGCAGCAGGGCAGUUAGGAGGGAGACAGAAACCAGGGGACUGUUCUACCCUCUCUUGACUUCCAAGUCUUAAAGUGAUCACAGAAAGCUGCGCUUUCUGCGCCGGGGACCCGCGUUUUUAACGUGAGCCGCAUCCCUGUCAUGCCCGUGGACCAUUGCCCGCCGCGGCCCCCAUUUGCCUACGAGAAGAGAGGGAAGGAACAUAAUCGCGAGGGCGAGUGGCGAAGGGGCACACGCUGCAUCCGUGACAGGCUCCGCCGCUUAUCUGUAAGAGGUUUGGAGCCGCGUCGGUCCGCUUAAACCCUUUUAUUACCCACGCCCCGAAUAUUUCCAUUACACACGGUCUGUGCUCCUCAGCUGAUACGCGAAACCUGCUGCCUUAUCGCUGUCGGUCGAUUGAUAUUUUUCUGUGUACAAGCCCAAGGCAUUAAAUCAAUGUCUCCACUC